rnacentral:rRNA from 1 species
UACGGGGGGGGCAAGCGUUGUUCGGAAUUACUGGGCGUAAAGGGCUCGUAGGCGGCCAACUAAGUCGGACGUGAAAUCCCCAGGCUCAACCUGGGAACUGCGUCCGAUACUGGAUGGCUUGAAUUCGGGAGAGGGAUGCAGAAUUCCACGUGUAGCAGUGAAAUGCGUAGAGAUGUGGAGGAAUACCGAUGGCGAAGGCAGCCCCCUGGGAUAACACUGACGCUCAUGCACGAAAGGCGUGGGGAGCAAACG